rnacentral:rRNA from 1 species
GAUGAACGCUAGCGAUAGGCUUAACACAUGCAAGUCGAGGGGCAGCACAAGGUAGCUUGCUAUCUGGGUGGCGACCGGCGCACGGGUGCGUAACGCGUAUGCAACUUGCCCUAUACAGGAGGAUAACCCGUCGAAAGACGGACUAAUACUGCGUAUGCUCACAACUUGGCAUCAAGUGGUGAGGAAAGAAAUUCGGUAUAGGAUAGGCAUGCGUCCCAUUAGCUUGUUGGUGAGGUAACGGCUCACCAAGGCAACGAUGGGUAGGGGAACUGAGAGGUUUAUCCCCCACACUGGUACUGAGACACGGACCAGACUCCUACGGGAAGCAGCAGUGAGGAAUAUUGGUCAAUGGGCGCGAGCCUGAACCAGCCAAGUCGCGUGAAGGAUGACUGUCUUAUGGAUUGUAAACUUCUUUUAUACGGGAAUAACAAGAGUCACGUGUGACUCCCUGCAUGUACCGUAUGAAUAAGCAUCGGCUAACUCCGUG